CAAACGACUCUCGGCAACGGAUAUCCCGGCCCUCGCAUCGAUGAAGAACGUAGCGAAAUGCGAUACUUGGUGUGAAUUGCAGAAUCCCGUGAACCAUCGAGUCUUUGAACGCAAGUUGCGCCCGAAGCCAUUAGGCCGAGGGCACGUCUGCCUGGGCGUCACGC
rnacentral:rRNA from 1 species